GACGUAGGGCGCGAGCGUUGUCCGGAUUUAUUGGGCGUAAAGAGCUCGUAGGCGGCUUGUCGCGUCGACUGUGAAAUCCCGCGGCUCAACCGCGGGUCUGCAGUCGAUACGGGCAGGCUAGAGUUCGGUAGGGGAGACGUGGAAUUCCUGGUGUAGCGGUGAAAUGCGCAGAUAUCAGGAGGAACACCGAUGGCGAAGGCAGGUCUCUGGGCCGAUACUGACGCUGAGGAGCGAAAGCGUGGGGAGCGAACAGG
rnacentral:rRNA from 1 species